rnacentral:rRNA from 1 species
UACGUAGGGUGCGAGCGUUAAUCGGAAUUACUGGGCGUAAAGCGUGCGUAGGCGGUUCUCCAAGUCCGUUGUGACAGCCCCGGGCUCAACCUGGGAAUGGCAGUGGAAACUAGGGGACUGGAAUCUGGCAGAGGGGGGUGGAAUGCCGCGUGUAGCAGUGAAAUGCGUAGAGAUGCGGCGGAACACCGAUGGCGAAGGCAGCCCCCUGGGCUGAGAUUGACGCUCAGGCACGAAAGCGUGGGGAGCAAACAGG